GAUGAACGCUGACAGAAUGCUUAACACAUGCAAGUCAACUGUGGCGGACGGGUGAGUAACGCGUAAAGAACUUGCCUCACAGCUAGGGACAACAUUUGGAAACGAAUGCUAAUACCGGAUACUGUGAGAGAGCUUUGCGUCCCAUUAGCUAGUUGGAGAGGUCACGGCUCACCAAGGCGAUGAGGGGUAGCCGGCCUGAGAGGGUGAACGGCCACACGGGGACUGAGACACGGCCAUUAAUCCUACGGGAGGCAGCAGUGGGGAUGAUUGGACAAAGGACCAAAGUCUGAUCCAGCAAGUCUGUGUGCACGAUGAAGUUUUCGGAAUGUAAAGUGCUUUCAGUUGGGAAGCGGUACCAACAGAAGAAGUGACGGCUAAAUACGUGCCAGCAGCCGCGGUAAUUC
rnacentral:rRNA from 1 species